CUGUAAUGUUUAUACAUCUAGCUGACAGAUUUAGAGGAUAUGGAACUUGAAAUUCUACGAUUCAUGCCAAAUCAUGAAUCCAUUUUUUCCCGGUAUUUCGAAAGCUGUCUAUUUGAGGUCAGUCAAAACUGGGAGUGAUCUACCAUUCUUGUGUCGAGCAUGCCAGGUGGAAUCAUUUAAUUCAUUACCAGAUGUUGACCCCCCCCCCCGUCUCUACUUUACCAAUUAUGCCAGAAGCAACUCAUGCUGCCCAACCUUCAACAUGAACAGCAUCAUCUACAUCAAGGACAAUUAGAUCUUAACGGAAGCUGCAAUUACAUGUAACGUCAUCCGAAAGCACCCCACUGAGACCAAAAAGAAGGAAAAGACAAAAAGGGAAAACUGAGUCACCAAGGGAGAGGGCCGAGAGACCCAAAAAAGAAAAAAAACUGAGAGACUCAAGGAGUUUGAACAGUAUUGUUUAGAGCCACAAGUUCUGGAUCUUGCUAAUGUAUAUAGAAACGGUGUACUAGCAAUUGAUAUGGACGAAGACAUUAAUCGAAGGAGAAGGCUUGCAGCCUACAGACAAUUUGUUAUGUUGUGGUACAGGGAAUAGAGUAGUAGUACCCUCCUGUUCUGUUC